UACGUAGGGGGCAAGCGUUGUUCGGAAUUACUGGGCGUAAAGCGCACGUAGGCGGCUUUGUAAGUUAGAGGUGAAAGCCCGGGGCUCAACUCCGGAAUUGCCUUUAAGACUGCAUCGCUAGAAUUGUGGAGAGGUAAGUGGAAUUCCGAGUGUAGAGGUGAAAUUCGUAGAUAUUCGGAAGAACACCAGUGGCGAAGGCGACUUACUGGACACAUAUUGACGCUGAGGCACGAAAGCGUGGGGAGCAAACAGG
rnacentral:rRNA from 1 species